CUCUAAUACCACCAUCAGUUGGCAGUUAACCAUAAAGCAGGUCACCUCGCUAAACCAAUUUCGCGUCUGCAAGAGGAACAAAACAGUGUGAAGAAGAUCUACAAGUUGGAUAUUUGUGCCGCGGGUUCAUCGACCUGACUGCUAACGCAGCUUUGAGGCUGAGGAUCGGGACGGAGUGAUUUCGCGGUGAACCAAAUUGAACGCGAUCACAAUAGAGCAAUUGGUCAUCUUUUGGCCGGACUGUGGUCUGCGCCUCACCUAAGCGCCAAAGCUUUAUUAACAUGGCUUGUGCGCGUGCAUCGAUGCAGUAAGCAGGAGUAUUGAUUGAGAUCGGCCCUAUUCUUCUCUUCCAAACAUGUACUACAACUACAAAAUGGCGGCGGCUGGAACGAACGUUGGUCCACUGGAGUGGAUCUACGCCGCGCUUGACUGGGCCGCUGGUGUGCCCGGAGAACCGGCUAGGAGUCGGUGGCGAGAUGGUGUUACGACGGGCAGCUGGUAUGACGGCGGGUCAGGGCGACCAAGCCGACGAACGAGUGCGUGAGAACGCCGUACCGCAGACAGCAGCGUCGAGGGAUUUACACUUUUACACUGACACAUUUACACUUAGGUUAAUUCACUAAUAUAGGUUUAGUAUGACCAUCUUGUCCGUACGUUUAAAACGGCCUGAUGAAGGCGCCUCUUUGAGUGCGAUUAAAUGGAUCCAAUCAUGAUAAAUUCUUGUGUAUUUCUGAAUUUUUCCGCCCUUUUGGGCCAAAUAAAACUUGAAAAAUUA
rnacentral:lncRNA from 1 species